rnacentral:rRNA from 1 species
GCUGGCGGCGUGCUUAACACAUGCAAGUCGAACGAACCUUCGGGUUAGUGGCGGACGGGUGAGUAACGCGUGAGAAUCUGCCCUCAGGAGGGGGACAACAGCUGGAAACGGCUGCUAAUACCCCAUAUGCCGAGAGGUGAAAUGAAUUUCGCCUGAGGAUGAGCUCGCGUCUGAUUAGCUAGUUGGUGAGGUAAGAGCUCACCAAGGCAUCGAUCAGUAGCUGGUCUGAGAGGAUGAUCAGCCACACUGGGACUGAGACACGGCCCAGACUCCUACGGGAGGCAGCAGUGGGGAAUUUUCCGCAAUGGGCGAAAGCCUGACGGAGCAACGCCGCGUGAGGGAUGAAGGCCUCUGGGCUGUAAACCUCUUUUCUCAAGGAAGAAGAUCUGACGGUACUUGAGGAAUAAGCCACGGCUAAUUCCGUGCCAGCAGCCGCGGUAAUACGGGAGUGGCAAGCGUUAUCCGGAAUUAUUGGGCGUAAAGCGUCCGCAGGCGGCCCAUCAAGUCUGCUGUUAAAAAGUGGAGCUUAACUCCAUCAUGGCAGUG